GGCUAUAUCCGGUUGAAACACCGGUUCACAUCCAAACAUCAAAGUUAAGCAAUAUCGAAUCUGGUUAGUACCUAGAUGGGUGACCGCUUGGGAAUACCAGGCGCUGUAAG